UAAAACAGUUUCUUGCUCUGAGGGUGGGAUGAGGUUGGAACUGGAAUGAUGACUCAAUUACUUUAAAAUAAAAUAUUCAUGUUAUCUUUGAUUAUACUCAACUUAGAUACCGCUUCUUUCUCCACUACAUGGAAAAGCUUAAACGUGUGCUCUGCAAAGUCACAGGGCGGCACUGCAUCUGCAAUAGAAAGUAAUAAAGAGGGUUAGUGUAUCUGCAACUUUCUACACCUUUAAUAUGACCCUUUCUCACCGUCUAUAUUCACUUUACACACACACACACAUAUAUAUAAAUAAAUAUGAAAGUUUAUCAGGUUAGUGAUAAGAGAAUAGAGGAGUACAUUUCUAUCUUAUAUUCUAAUGAAUGGUUAAAAUUAAAAUUAAUUUAGACCAUUUUUAUAAUCCUAGGAGAGUGGAAGAAAUGAAAUUUCUAUAGCAAAAUAUUAUGUAUGUAACCAAUGUCAUGUAAAAGAACUUGGUUGAUUGUGGUUGCUUCCUUGUACUUUUACACAUUUCUUUUCUGAUACUAAUGGAACUGAUAGGAGAAAUAGUGUAAACAAUCUCAUCUAGGAAAAAGGACUUGAGUAUUGUUGCGGUUUUUUCCUUACUUUUUCAUGAUGGAAUCAAGAGAGUCCUAUAAAUGGUUGUUCAUCACUCACAUAAGAAACUCCCCAUUCCACAAUUCCCACCUCUCUAAAGAUUCUGCUUCCAAAGUCUCCCCUACAAUCCCUCAACUUUAUAUAACAUCAUCAUUGCGCUCUCUCCUAAUGCUAUCAUCAUUCAAACAGGAAUAAGCAACAAAAUGAGUCACAGUGGCUACAUCAAUGAAAAAACAGGCUUGUCCUUGAGACAGAAUUCCAGCAGGAAAUCAACCAGAAAUGGACAAGUGAAGAGUUGCAUGUUCAGGAUUCCUUGGCAGUCUGAGACCUCUCCCGUUGAACUUGUGAAGGAUCUUGCAGAAAGAGUAACUAAUGCUCUACGCUUGAUGUCUUCAAGGAGAUCUUUACACCGAGGCUCUUCUUCCCUAACAAGAUCAAAAUCAGCAGGCUCCUCUGUUGAUUUUCAUAGAACUGCUGCUGUUGAGGAUUGCAUUGAGUUCAUCCACUCUUCUUUUUCAAGAUCAAACUCCUCAACCACAGCACCCCGCCAAGAUUCUAUACAAGCUCCUUGAUUAUAGACAGUUACAAUCAUGUGCUUGAUACCAUGUUUAAGUGUAUAUCUUCCUUUCUUCUCUCACCUCAUAAUGAUGGGAAUUAAGCCAUCCUUUUAUGCUUCUGUACAAACAGAAUCUGUGUAUAUUCAUUCUUCUGAUAAAUUUCUUACAAGGUGUUUUAAGUUUCAAUGAAACAAAUGCAAUAAUCUACGUUUUUCUAAGAAAUAUUAUGUGAAAUUAUUGGUGGGAUUUUAUGUUUCACCAAGCACACGCUGAAAACAAUAUGAAAAGGGUUAGAAGAAUAUGAGACGAAGAUGUAAAAUCCUCGCUCUAUAUCUCUACUACGUUGGUUUGUUCAUCCUUGUAUGGAUCUUUUGCAUAGCAUCAUUACUCAUUCUCGUUGGAGUAUGAAAUAUAUAAGCC
rnacentral:lncRNA from 1 species